AGUGAACGCUGGCGGUAGGCCUAACACAUGCAAGUCGAACGGCAGCACAGGAGAGCUUGCUCUCUGGGUGGCGAGUGGCGGACGGGUGAGGAAUACAUCGGAGUCUACUUUUUCGUGGGGGAUAACGUAGGGAAACUUACGCUAAUACCGCAUACGACCUACGGGUGAAAGCAGGGGACCUUCGGGCCUUGCGCGAUUGAAUGAGCCGAUGUCGGAUUAGCUAGUUGGCGGGGUAAAGGCCCACCAAGGCGACGAUCCGUAGCUGGUCUGAGAGGAGGAUCAGCCACACUGGAACUGAGACACGGUCCAGACUCCUACGGGAGGCAGCAGUGGGGAAUAUUGGACAAUGGGCGCAAGCCUGAUCCAGCCAUACCGCGUGGGUGAAGAAGGCCUUCGGGUUGUAAAGCCCUUUUGUUGGGAAAGAAAUCCAGCUGGCUAAUACCCGGUUGGGAUGACGGUACCCAAAGAAUAAGCACCGGCUAACUUCGUGCCAGCAGCCGCAGUAA
rnacentral:rRNA from 1 species